rnacentral:rRNA from 1 species
AUUGAACGCUGGCGGCAUGCCUUACACAUGCAAGUCGAACGGCAGCACGGGAGCAAUCCUGGUGGCGAGUGGCGAACGGGUGAGUAAUAUAUCGGAACGUGCCCAGUCUGGGGGAUAACGUAGCGAAAGCUACGCUAAUACCGCAUACGAUCUAUGGAUGAAANCGGGGGAUCGCAAGACCUCGCGCGAUUGGAGCGGGCCGAUAUCAGAUUAGGUAGUUGGUGAGGUAAAGGCUCGCCAAGCCGACGAUCUGUAGCUGGUCUGAGAGGACGACCAGCCACACUGGGACUGAGACACGGCCCAGACUCCUACGGGAGGCAGCAGUGGGGGAAUUUUGGACAAUGGGCGCAAGCCUGAUCCAGCAAUGCCGCGUGACAGGAUGAAGGCCUUGG